rnacentral:rRNA from 1 species
AUGAACAAUGCUCUACUUGCCCCUUAUGCCGCAGAGAUGUCCGCAGCUUUAUUCGAUAUUGGGGACUUAAAAGCUCUAGGGCCAGAUGGACUCCAUGCUAUUUUCUACAAAAGGUUCUGACCCAUGUUGGGGGAGGACCUAAUUGAGGAGGUUCUAAAAGCAAUAAACACAUGCACUAUCCCGAACGAUUGGAACGAUACGGCGAUCGUGAUGAUUCGUAAGAUUAAUACACCAGAAAAGGUAACCCAAUUUAGGCCGAUCAGCUUAUGUAAUGUGGUAUACAAAAUAAUUGCAAAAAUAGUGGCUUCUCGAUUGAAGUUUUUUCCAAAAAUUAUUAGUCCAACACAAAGUGCAUUUGUACUGGGUAGAUUGAUAAUGGAUAAUAUUUUAGUGGCCUAUGAAUGUUUUCACACAAUCAAGAACAAGAUAGAAGGUAAAGAGGGCUUGUGUGCUAUAAAACUUGACAUGCACAAAGCAUACGACAGAGUUGAGUGGCCUUUUUUGAAAGAGAUUAUAUUGAGAUUGGGUUUCCAUUGAGAAUGGGUGAAUUUGAUUAUGCAAUGUGUCUCAACUGUCGAAUACAGAGUAAGGAUCAAUGUAGAGGAAAGUGAGAGUUUCAUGCCUACUAGAGUGUUGAGGCAGGGUGAACCGCUAUCACCAUACCUAUUUCUGUUGUGCAUAGAGGGGUUGAAUGCCUUGCUUACGCAUGUUGAGGAGAAUGAAAACAUAUCAAGAGUUAAAGUCUGUACAGACGCCCCGCCAGUCACAAAUCUUCUCUUUGCGGAUGAUUCAUUGAUCUUGAUAAAAGCCAACCAACAUAGUGCGGCGGCCCUAAAAUCAACACUAGAUUUAUAUUGUGCAGCGUCGGGACAAUUGGUAAGCGUGGAAAAGUCUUGUAUUUUCUUUAGUCCUAAUACAACGAUAGAGAUCAGAGAAUAACUAUGUACAACGCUUAAUAUAACGACCGAGGCACUGAAUGGAAAAUACUUGGGCUUGCCAGCAAAUGUGGGUGUAGAUAAAACAGACUGCUUUAAAUUUCUGAUUGAACAAGUUGUUAAGAAAAUUAGUGGUUGGAAGGAAAAAUUACUGUCUUCCGGGGGGAGGGAUCUGCUCAAGGUUGUGAUCCAAGCCAUGCCUACACAUGCAAUGUCAGUCUUUCAAAUUCCUAAAAGAAUUUGUAAAGAAUCAUUGACGCGAUAA